rnacentral:misc_RNA from 1 species
UCCCGCUUGCACGGGCAGUUCCGUCAGAGUGCCCAACUGAAUGCUGGCAACAGACGGUGAGGGUUGCGCUCGUUGCGGGACUUAACCCAACAUCUCACGACACGAGCUGACGACAGCCAUGCACCACCUGUACACCGACAAAAGGGGCACCAUCUCUGAUGCUUUCCGGUGUAUGUCAAACCCAGGUAAGGUUCUUCGCGUUGCAUCGAAUUAAUCCGCAUGCUCCGCCGCUUGUGCGGGUCCCCGUCAAUUCCUUUGAGUUUUAGCCUUGCGGCCGUACUCCCCAGGCGGAGUGCUUAAUGCGUUAGCUGCGGCACAGAGAGGGUUGAAGGCCUCCCCACACCUAGCACUCAACGUUUACGGCUGGGACUAC